rnacentral:lncRNA from 1 species
CACCAACACAAUGGUUGUGGGAUUUUUCUCCCCAAAUUGAAACACACAGAAACGGAAACCCGCCCACGCCUCACCAUCUUUGGCCACACUUCAAAGGACGGUACUAUCGAUGCUCCGGCAACACUUCCGUCUAAGGUUUGGCUCUCUACAACUUCAUCAUUUCCGAUCGCGCUUGGUACGAAGGUUGUCGCAACUCCAGGAGCACUUCCAUCCAAGUUUCACCGGUCACGCCUGACCAUCUCUGGCCACCAGUAAAAUUAGACGACAAUUAUCUCUCUUCCUCACGCCAUUUGGGAGUUGGUUGCUGGACAAAGGCAUGUAGAGAAUUCACCCCCAAUUCUUUAAUUUUGGUCAGUGUUAUAAUUUUUAUUUUUAUUUUCAUUUUUCUGCUACAUUGGUCAUAGAGCUAACCUUUUUCACUUAACUAAAAAAUGAUUGUCAGAUUCAAUUAUGUUUAGAAGGAAAGUCAUUAUCUUGUAGCCAAAAUAGUUAAAUUUCUGGUGUAAAAAUCCUAUUCUUUGGAUAAAGCAGAUAUCAAGAUCCAACAUUACUACAAUUGCAUCUCUUUGAGUUAAUUGUAAACUGUGGUUUGUUUUCAUUAUAGAAUGGGAGGAAAGAAUACUGGAAUUGUCAUAGCUGUAGAUCUAAGGGUCACUUCUUUGUUGACUGCCCAUUAAACCCCCGAUGCCCAAAUUGCAAGCAUGGAUUCGUGAAGUGUUUUGUAGUGGAGAAGUGGACGAUCAAUAAAGAGCGUUUAUUUCUUUGUUACAGCGAGAAAUGUGGAUUUUGAGAAUGGGUUGUGAAAACUCAAUCGAGCGAUCAAUCCUUUAGCGAUAAAUCUUCUUCAAUUUACCAUGUGACGAAUGGCACCGUUGAAGAAAUAUCACACACGUUCCAAUCUUGAGUUCUCCUCAUCGAUGAAGAAGACCUACAGAUUUUGGUGAACGUGACAAUAUGCAAGGCAAAUGGUAGUGUGAAAGUGAAUGCAAAUGGGAAGGGAUCGAUCUGAUUAUUAGAUAAACCUUAGCUCUCGAGUUGUGACAUAAAUUUUGGCAACGUAGCAUUAUUAUGCGCGACUCUAUGUAAACUAAUUGAAUGAUGGGUUUGUGUACCAUUUUGCAGGCCACAUUUGUAAUGCCAUCUCUCGUUUUCAAAUUUCUUAGUCGUUCAUGUGAAUGCUUAUAUUAGUUUAUUAGUUAUGCAAUUACUUCAGCAUGUA